AACGAACGCUGGCGGCAGGCCUAAUACAUGCAAGUCGAACGGAUGUAGCAAUACAUUAGUGGCGCACGGGUGCCUAACGCGUGGGAACAUACCCUUGAGUAAGGAAUAAUGUCUGGAAACGGACACUAAUACCUUAUAAUGACUUCGGUCCAAAGAUUUAUCGCUCAAGGAUUGGCCCGCGUCUGAUUAGCUAGUUGGUGAGGUAACGGCUCACCAAGGCGACGAUCAGUAGCUGGUCUGAGAGGAUGAUCAGCCACACUGGGACUGAGACACGGCCCAGACUCCUACGGGAGGCAGCAGUAAGGAAUAUUGGACAAUGGGGGAAACCCUGAUCCAGCCAUGCCGCGUGAGUGAAGAAGGCCUUAGGGUUGUAAAGCUCUUUCAAUGGUGAAGAUAAUGACGGUAGCCAUAGAAGAAGCCCCGGCUAAAUUCGUGCCAGCCGCCGCGGUAACAC
rnacentral:rRNA from 1 species